rnacentral:rRNA from 1 species
CAGCCGCCGCGGGAAUACGGAGGGCGCGAGCGUUACCCGGAUUUACUGGGCGUAAAGGGCGUGUAGGCGGCCUGGGGCGUCCCAUGUGAAAGGCCACGGCUCAACCGUGGAGGAGCGUGGGAUACGCUCAGGCUAGAGGGUGGGAGAGGGUGGUGGAAUUCCCGGAGUAGCGGUGAAAUGCGCAGAUACCGGGAGGAACGCCGAUGGCGAAGGCAGCCACCUGGUCCACUUCUGACGCUGAGGCGCGAAAGCGUGGGGAGCAAACCGGAUUAGAGACCCGCGUAGUCCCUGUCUCUUAUAC